UCGUAAUGCUUUCUGCAGAAGGGGACAGCCCUCCGAAAGACAAAGUCCUAAGCAUUGCUGCAUUCAAACCCAGCACGACCACAUGGAAAUGAUGCAACUCAAGAUUUCUAUUUAUUUAUUAUUAUUUAUUUAUUUCAGAUGGAAGCUCAUUAAAAAUGCAUCCUAGUUUGAAAGAAAGCAUGUAAGUCAUCAGCUGGCUCAAGUCAGUCUAUCUUCCUGUUUCUCUUAUAGGCCUGCUAAUACCUCUAGGCCUUAGCGGGACUGCAGUGUGCCCCUGGACUUGCCACACAGACUCAGUUCCACCUCAGCCAAAGAGGGGCCCACAGAGGAACAAACCUCAGUCUAUCCAGGAAAUGACAAACAAGCCUCUGAGUCAAUUGCACAUACGGAAGAGAAGCUCUUCCCCUGGAGCUGGGAGGUGUUCAGCAGCAGCAGCCCUGCCAGCCGCACGCACGUCCAUCCAGCAGCGCACUGAAGUCAGAGAACAGCGGCGCGGGCUUUUUUUUUCCCUCUUGCCUCUUUGGCAAAACCAGAGUGGGUGGAGACAGACACUUUGGCUCCACGCUCACCUAAAAUCCCUUUCAGACUCCCAGAGCAUUGAGCAACGUGAAGGCAGCAGGUUCUGUCCUCAUUGCUGCAUGUUGACAGCGUGAGAUGAGGAUUUACCUGGAUCAGCCAGUUUCCUGUGCAAGGCAUGACUUGAAGGGCUGUAUCAGCAGUGAGGUGAAGCAGUGAGCCAGCGCUGCUGUGACACUGGGGACACUGGGACGUGUUUCAUGUGGAUAAAGUUGGAGCUGCUGCUCUGAAUCCCAAACUGAAUCCAAGCCCGGGGCCGCCACAUUAAAGCAGCGCGAGGCUCCAGAUCUGGCUCACACCAUCCUGCAGCACACAAGAGAUCACCGUGUGAGUGGAAAGCCUCAGGAGCUCCAAGCCACAAGAAAAAUGGCUGUGCUGUGAAAUUCCAGCCAAAACCACUUCCAUACAGCGCCUGUUAACAGCGUCUGUGCUCCGAUAGUGUGAUGUCCUGACCGUCUCCGAUUUCAUACCUGUUUUCAACCAAAGGAAGAUUUGUGUCAUUUCCAUGCUUGGAUGGCCCCAGGUUGACCUUUCCUACCCAUGUGAAGAAAAUGGUCAAGCCCAACAAGUUGUGGUUCAGGGUACAUGGAAUUAAAGCUGGCCCCCAAGUGUGAAACUGCAACGCGCUGCUUUCUUCUGAGACAGAUUUGCCAAGCUGAAAAGGUUCUGGAGGCAAACGGAUUACACCAGACGUGAACCUGUCUUGCUGUGUUUUGUAAAAUAUUGGGUGUGUAGGAUACAGCUGCCUUCAGGCACGUUCAGCCUGCAGAACCUGUUCACCUUGGUUCUAAAUAAGAUUUACUGCCCUCAACUACAUCACAGGAGCUCUGCUCUCAAUCAGGGACAUAUAUGUGAUAUUAAAAACAUUUCUAGCAUUGCUUUAAACUGUUCAGAAGUGAAAAGAGAUGAUUUCCUGCUUCAGAAAGCAUCUGAGGGGAGCCUGAGGACAAAGGCACGAUGCCAGGGUACAGUACUCAGCUGAGAUUCACUGCAUUUGCAGUGGUUUAAGAUGGAUGUCAUUUCUUACAUAAAGAUCACACAAAAUUCACUGAUGUGUCAGGCUCAGUACAACUGUUCCUUGCAAAUGGAGCACCUGCUACUGCCUGUUUAAGCACAGAAGCCCACAUGCACAUGGAUGCCUGCAUCUACUCAUGGACACCAAAAUAUUGCUGACGCUAAAAGUAAUCCUGAAUGACUGAGAUUCUCAUUCCAUUUCAAUGGUGAACAAAGAACACCAGUAGCAAAAGCUCUUGCUUCUGUUCUGUGGUCAUAAUGUACUUCUCUGUUCCAAUCAGUGCCGGGUAGAUCUGUAGAUUCAUAACCAUGAUUAAACUAUAAAUAACCUCUCCAAAUCCCUAAUUAAGUUGUUUGUUUUUUGUUCACUCGGAUACAUCACGUGACAUCACAGAUGUAAACUUUUAUGUACCAUUUCAAAUGUUAAAUGUACUUGGAAAUCCUAAAGCAAAGAACUACUGGGAAAUGCAGACAGAAGCAGUAGAAAAGCCAGAUCCAAAUAUCUGAGCAGCUUGGCUAUGGCUGGCCCAGUCUGCAGCUAUCUCACAGGGCAGCUUUGAGAUGCGAGGUGUUUGGUGCCGCGUCCUUGAGAUCAUCAGGUGCACUUCCCGCAGUGACUCACUGAUGCGUUUGGACCUGAGGGGAGGAGGUGAAAGGGAGAAGGGCUGUGUGUAUGUGUGGGGACAUGCACAGCAGUUUGAGGCAUGUAACGCAGUGAUGAAUCAAGACAGGAAGAGUAUUCCAUGCAGUUACCAGAGAGCCGUCAGCACAGGGCAGCUUGCUCUGCUGCAGGUCACUGCAUGGACAGCCCUGGGCAGAAGGAGUGCUUUCAGGUAGGAUCUGGGGCAGCAGGCCUGGAGGUGCAGGGAGUUGAAAUCCUCACUGGGAGAAGUGGGAUGCUUCAUAAAGCAGUGGGUGGUGCUGAAGGCGAGGGACUGGAGAUGAGAGUUUGGCAGUCUUUUAGAAGAGUUUAAGACUUUGCUUCUAAAUCUGUUACUUGUUACUGACAAAGAGGGCAAGAAUGAGAUUCUGAUCUCCGUGAUGUCUCUGCAAAUAUGGGUAUCUCCGCUGAUUCCACGUAAAUCUGGAGGAGAUAAUCUUGCACCACUAAAUGGUGAAACUCCCUAUGAUUCAGUAGAGUUGAGAAAUCAGCUUGCAGAGGCUCCAGCAGCACAAUCUCAGUGUGUCAGGGUCCAGCUGUGUUCUUAACUGGAUCAUGAUUAGUGACUUUCACCCAAAUAAAAUAUGCUAUAGUCACA
ensembl:lncRNA